AGCACCAUCUCGGCGCACAUGGUGUGCUGGACCACGAGAGUCCGCCUCAAUGUUUUGCUUGCGGCCGCGGGGCAAGGCCAGGGUGUCUGCUGUCCCCUGCUCAGGGGGGAUCAACACGAGACUCGUCUACCAGACCCUGCCCGACGUCACCUGCUGCGCCGUUUUCUGUCUACGACAUUCUUGGGCACAUCUCUUGUGGAUGUACAACGGGAGCCGAAGGCUCUCCAGAGCCAUCGCCGAGGCAGGUGUAAUUGCCCAGCAGAAGCUCGUCCACAUCCCCGUACACUACCAGGCGCCGCAGGCCGCAGGGCCGGCAGCAAGGGAAGCGCGAUGAAGAGCGGCGGGCCACCUCGAGGAUGCCGAGGUUUUAGCGCCCUACGGUUCGGAGUCCAGGCUGCACGUCGACCCCACCAUAUCAUCCUCAAGGCCGUCCUGGUGCUGUCCCCGGGGCCGAGGUGGUCUCGGCCUUUCAAGACCCGGCCCCCAAGGCCAAGGCUGAUGGCUGACGUCACAGCGGUUCGCCGAGCCUACCCUGCCCCCGGCCCGGCUGCGCUGUAUGCACACGGCGAGGCCCCUUCAUGGCGUGUCGGAACACCUCCCGCAACAUGGGCAAUACGCCGGGCUGAACCGUUCGGCGGAUCCGGGAAGGGGAAAAGGGAGGAAGGGGGGGGGGGGGUCGCAGGACAUCCCUCGGAUGCUCACCAGCUCUCGAGUGAGGAAGUUGAACACGGAGACGGGGGAAGAGAGGCGCCGCUGUCAGCCAGGCGAAAAAAGCGAGGUGAACAUCGACGUCGUCAAUCAUAAUCGGAAUCGGAGCCGGCAGGUAUACGGUGGCGCGUCGCGGAGCCGCCGGGCGCCGGGCGCCGGGGUGCUAUUAUUUGGCCUGGCGCCUUGCUCCGUGGCGCACGCACAGCCGAGGGAAGUCCAGCUUCAAGACACGUGCAGAGCCGAGGCCGUGAAGGGCGUCAUGCCGAACAGCAGCAGCUCGUCCGGCAGCUCAUACACCCAGGACCCGACGCCGGGCAGCGCGCUGAGCACGGUCAGCUCCUCCAGCGCCGUGUCCAUGCCUCGGGGACGAUUUGGCGAAACAGCCUCGUACGAUCUGUUAACUCGCUCAAGGCUGGUGGCGAGCGACUAGGCUCUGAAGGUCUGCCGGAGGCGGCGUGUCGUGGACCUUAUCCAGGCGUGCCCGCCGCCCCGCCUAGAGUCUCCGCUACCGUCGUCCACGUCGGCCGGUGGCUGGUGCGUUGGUCUUCGUUUUGGAGCCGACUGAUUCAGAAGACCACUUUCCUAUACCUCCCGUACAACUCCGUCUCGAACAAGGCCGGACUAGAGCGAGGAGACCUUCUUGGCGCUAUGGCUGCGCACGGAUCCUAGAUGGCUAUCGAGUCCAGGCAGCACGGCGCGCACACCAGAGCGAGAAGCAUCUCCUUCGUGAUCAGAUGGGCAAGUGUAGGAAAAAAAAGGGGGGGGCGUACCACCAGGAGGUGGACAUCGAGGCCUGGCAGCACGACCGGUGCUGGAGUCCAGACCGUGCCCAACUUCGCCCGCGGCCGCGCCGCGUCGAGAUCCAGGACACGCAGUGACCGUCCGCGAAGAAGAUGAUGGAGCACGCCGGGUGGCAGCUGCCGCGUCCGCGGCGAUGCCCCUUUGUGCCCACGCCUGCCCACGCCCACCGCCCACCCCCGUCAUACGGGGAGCCAUCGCUGGCUUAAUAAAUGUCCCGUGUGACCAAGAGAUCAGAAAAUGGUGCCAAAGUCCCAGACGACAGGCGAGGGAGAGGGAAAGCCCAUGUCUGAUGUCUGCCGCCGGACGAGCACACGCCCGUCGGUCUGAAGCAGUAGUCUGAAGCCUGUGGUUGGAGAAGGCAGACUGGUACAGCGAGGAGGCCUUUGUAGUGGGGACGGGCGCGAAGGGCAAGGUGCUUCUUAGCAACUUAUAGAGUGCUAGAGGCUGGAGAAGGUCGCUUCUUAAAUCGUUAAAGCCGACGGGCAAAUGCCAGGGUAGGCAACCCACCCAGCGCACGAGCGUCGCGGGCGGGGCAGUUGUUACCCUCCAGGCACCCUGACAGGCAAGACAUUAUCGAGUCUCGAAAUGGAUUCUUUUCGCUGGUAUGUUAUUCCACAGCCGAAGACAGGCGAAAUUGUUCGCACCGUGUUUGUCCGUACCUGAUGUGCUCCACAUCCACACAGUUAUUUCUAAGGAAAGGUAGAGGAAACCAGGAAUCCGAGAACGUGGCGUUGUAGUGCCGAUACACAAGCAUAUGAAUGUGAUAAACUGAACGCCCAUUGCAGUUUUGUGUUGUGUUAAAACGUUAAACGGAUACCGAACGCACUUUGUGGCCAUUCGAACCCCGCCUCUCGGCGCGCCGCUGCCUCGCCAUGUACACCAACAUACCACCCACAGCUAGUCUGCGCGUCGUCGUCCUACAUCACUACCGUUUCACGUUUAAACGCCAAAAAGCUGUGAAAUGGGUGGAAAUACUAAUUUUAUUGUAUAGGGGUAGUCUUCUGCUAGAGCGUCACGUUCUGAGAAUUUGCAUCUACGGCAGAAUUGUUUAGUUUUCAGGACUUGCCACCCUGGCUGAACGAACGAAUGAUGAAUUGAUGAAAUAGUUGUCGGUCAGCUAAACACUGUCUGCUUUUGGACGCGGCCGUUUGCGUCGGUCGACAUUCUAAUCGAAAUUUGCACGAAAUGUGGUCGGUUGCAACAGUUAGGACUUUAUAGGGUGUAUGUUUCUUCUCAUUGUUCUUCAUUGCAGCACCGUUCUCUACGACGCCGGCUGUGAUUUUGUGGAGAGAGUUGCUGGGUUGGGUUAUUGUCUGCCAGGGAACACUCGUGGCGAACCACGAGGGCGAUUGUUAACACAACAAUAAUUUCGCUUAUGCCGUUUUCAAACAUUGAUUUUAUUGAAUGUCAGUGAGUGGAUCCAGGCAACGGUGCUCUUUUGUACAACCAGUGUUGCGUUUCUUUAUGAAGGUGUUUAGUUACUCCUCCCUGGCUGACGAUCCCUUUGAGGCGGGUUCCGAGUCCACUUCAACCUUUCUAAAUCGUUGGAUCUGCUCGUGUCAAUUUGGGGAGCAGCUUUUCUGUGUUGAAAGUGAGACAGUUUGGUAAUGAAGGUUUAUUCAAGGUGCUAAACAAAUGCCAAUCAAAAGCAGACCUAGUCUGAAUAAAAGUAAUCUCUAUUAAAUGAUGCGCGAUUGAAUGAGAUUGAUGCCCAGUUUUAACGAACAUCGUAGUUCUGAUGCAAGUGCUUUUCACUUCAAAAUUUAGAGGUGAUUGUGAUUUCUGACUUGUGAACAAUGGAAGGUCUUCUAAAAUACUGUCUGUUUCAGAAGAGAAGUACUGCUGGUUCAAGAAAUUUAUUCUGCUUAUUCUGUGCCAUGUGAUGUCAUCUAUACCCAACCUGCAGUCAUAGGUUGUUUGCCGCAUGACAGCAGACAUAAAUAAGCAGAUGUAUAUGUCCAUGUGUGUGGUCUAUCUCUUCAACUGAUGUCAACUUGCAUGUUUGGGACAGUAAAAGGAAUUGAUGGUCCUGAGUUUGCAAUUUCCUUUCGGAAAAUUAAUUUCUUUACCAUGGUACUGUUCUACUAUGCGCUAUACAAGUGAAAUAACUGAUUCCUAGGUUUUACUUGACUGAAAACUUACAGACACUUCACUUAUCCAUAGAGAAAGAGAAAAUUUGAGGAAGACAAACAUCAGAAAGAAAUUAAGAUUGAAUGAGAUAUAUGAAAAUGAUUGAGUACAAAGCACAAAUUUGAUCCCAAGAACCAAAAAUGUUACCAGAGGACAUGGAUAAGAAGCAGAAGCUUAAGGAAGGGAUUCAUGAGGUCCAAAACUUAUUUAAAGAGAAGAUUGAUGUUAGUCUGUCUAAGUAUGCUGAGGUCCAAGAACAUCGGUGUCAGCAGUCUGCUUUAAGAUGGAUUCUGGAUUCCAGUCCAACAUGUCCAAAUGGUCUCUGCUUUGUCCCAACAUGCCAGAAUUAGUGAGAUAAAUGGAGAUGUGCAGGACUGGUCUUAGCCGGCCUUCAGCAGGCAUUUUUAAGCAGAUGUUUGAUGGAGACUACAUUUGGGAUAGAGAAGACAAAACAAUUGACUCUUGCAUGGAGUUAAGUUCUUCACGCAACACAGUUGUGAAGGUCUGCUGGUGACAUAAGUAAGCUGCUGGUUUUUUGGCAACUACUAAUAAUGUCUCAGAGAAAAAUGUUGUGUGGGCAAUUCAGUUCUUGUGGUGGUGCAGCUGAGGUCCUAUUCCAUUAUUUGAAUUACUAGAAUUUAGAGUUUUCAAUAUUUUUCAAUUUCUCCAGUUUAGCUUUUGUGGUUAAAAUUUGAGCAGAACUUUUUUUUUUGUGAGCUAAUAUUAACACAGUCAUUAACAAGUCUCCUUGAAGCACUCUAAUUUGUUCAAAGUAAAAGUGACGGACACAGGACAGGACUGACUGGUUUCUUUCUAAAUUUAGUUAUACACAUCUCUAUUUUCCUCACUAGUUCUGGCAUGUUUGCACCAAGUAAGGACCAAUUUGACUUAUUGUUGGACUGAAAUCCUUGAUGUUUUGUUGAUAAGAUCCCUGUAAAGAAUCACACAUGUAAGCAGGAACAUUAGAGAUUGUGUCUUACGUAUAUUUGUAUGUCCUCAUCUUUGUCGCCUUUUGCUAAGCUGUAGUUACCCUAAAGCAGACUGCUGAAACCGAUUUUCUUGGACCUCAGCUUACUUAGACAGACUUACAUCAAUCUUUUCUUUCAAUAAGUUUUGGACCUCAUGAAUUCCUCAAAUACCAAAUGUGUACUAACUUCUGUUCUUGGGAAGUUUGUCUUCGUUAAAUUUUCUCCUCCUCUAGAUAAGUGUAGCGUGUCAAAGUUUUAAGUAAUGUAAAAUCGAGGAAUCAGUUAUGUCACUUGUAUAGCUUUAGUAGAUCUUGUGUAAUUCAAGAUUGUCCCAGUUAUUAUUUUGGGAUGGCCUCAUUGUGCCUUCUGCUAUUGUGAUAACUUUAGUUCUUAUUUAAAUGAUGAAUGUCAUUAGAACAACAGCUUUUUCAGCUUGUAUAUUUCACCAGUGCAAUUUCGUGUUCCCCCAAGAAUUUCCCAAUUUUUACAAUAGUGCAUGUUUUUUUUAAAUAUACAUGUUAUCUAAGUUUAAGUUGUUACUCUAACAUUUGUUGUAAUUACAUAAACAUCAUUAGUUAUCUCAGCAAAGUUUGUUACUAUGACCACAAAAAUUAGUCUAGUAACUGUGAAGUGACAGGCGCUAUGGAUACCUCUCCGUUUUCUUGUUGCACACCUUGCACUCUAAUUGCUUUACUCUGCACAUGUAUAGCUUCUCUCUAAUGUCUUGUCCAAAUGUUGUGAACACGAGAAUGGCACUCACUGUCAUGGUUUCUUCCCAGUGUGUGGUCAAAGGAAGAUUCGUGACAAAACUGUCACAAUAAGCUGUUUCUCCCCUCGAUUAGCCAACACUUGUGACACCACAGUCACAAGUCGUUUUUCUCCAGUAUGUGGUCAAAGUCAGAUGUUAUAACUAAUGAUGUUUAUGUAAGAAAUGUUACAUUUAUAAGACUCUUCUAGGUUGCUUCCCAGAUCAGUUGUGUUGGCAUGUGUGAAGCAAACAAAGUUUUUUGCUUUCUUUGGCAGGACUAAUCUGCCUUUGAGAACCUAUUCUUUUGUUUUCCCAGGGGCAUUUUUUUCAAAUUCUAAACUAGUUGCAAAUUGUGCUUUAUUCUUUUCUGCCUAUGAACUGAGGCUUAAGGUUUUGUAUUGUAAUUCUUUGACUUUCAACCAUAUAAAUCAGUUUUGUAAAGGUUUAGUUAAACCAUACUAAAAGGCUUGAAGCUUGAAUUUGUUACUUACUAGACCCUUUGUUAUAUCAUUUUCUUAAAGAUUGAGAGUUUACAUUGUGUAAUAAAAGUAAAACAUUCGUAAAAUAAUAAGCUCACUUUGAACUUAUUUAUUCCCCUUGAAAAAUGAAGGCAAGUGUCGAAUCUGCUUCAUCCGCACCUAGUUGUGAAUCACUGCACGUUUUAUUGCGUCAAGAGUUGAAAAUAUUGUGUGUAGACCUGUGUGAAUCAGACUGAUGCUGACGUGGUUUGGAAAUGAGUUGUAUAUUGCAUAUGAAAGACCAAAUGAAAAUUUGUGGACAAUAAAAACAUAAGGAGUUCACAUAAAAAGUCUUUAAAAAGCUGCAAGGU